rnacentral:rRNA from 1 species
UGAGGAAUAUUGCGCAAUGCCCGAAAGGGUGACGCAGCGACGCCGCGUGGAGGAUGAAGGCCCUAUGGGUCGUAAACUCCUUUUAUGGGGGAAUAACUUCUCGCUAUAUGCGGGAUUGAAUGUACCCCAAGAAAAAGCAUCGGCUAACUACGUGCCAGCAGCCGCGGUAAUACGUAGGAUGCUAGCGUUGUCCGGAUUUACUGGGUGUAAAGGGAGCGCAGGCGGGUCGGUAAGUCAGUGGUGAAAUUCUCAGGCUUAACCUGAGAACUGCCACCGAAACUGCUGAUCUUGAGUGCAGAAGAGGUUGAUGGAAUUCUAGGUGUAGCGGUGAAAUGCGUAGAUAUCUAGAAGAACACCGAUGGCGAAGGCAGUCAACUGGUCUGCUACUGACGCUCAUGCUCGAAAGCGUGGGGAUCAAACAGG